GUGAGGUCACGUCGCACCGUGACACGGGACAAGACGUCUUUCCAGAAAUCCAACAAAUUUGUCUUUUGUAGAGUCUUGAGGCAAAGAAACACACAGUUUGAUGCAAUUUUAGAACAAGUUAAUGAAGCUGUGCUAAUUGUAAAACCCAGUGAGAAGAAGCUGCUUCUGAGAAGACCUGCGUGUGAAAGAUAAUGGAGCCCUGACUGCUGCUGAUGCCCGAUGACGAGCCGGCCGCUGAUAAAGACUCUCUCUGCCUCCGACUGACGACUGCACAACACAUCCAGAGAGCAGGCCCGGAGCGGCGGAGGCCGCUGGCUCAUUACAGCACAUUACAUAAGGCCUUCACGCCAACCGCUCGUCUGGAACGGGAGAUUUCUAUCUCUGAACAUAACAAUUGAUGCUCAAAUUGAGGCUGACAGUUUCAAUUAAGACUAAUGUUUGUUUUCUGUUCUAAUAACGACACUAAAACUUUAUUUAUAGAGCAACUUUAAAACCAACGUUGAUGAAAAUGAAGCAGCCACAGUGUAACAGAAAAUAUAAUAAAAGGAACAAAAUACAUCAGAAAUGAUGUUCAUAUGUAAACAAAAAUAAAAAGUCAACAGGGUAUGAACAGAAAAGUAAGUUAUCGGAUGAAACUGAGCUACAUUCUGUAUUUACCCCCUGAAGAUGCAUAAAAUGUUAUAGUCUUUUGAAUUCAUAACACUUUAAACUAUGAGUUUGGAAGAAAGUUGUUCUUUGUUGUUGUCAAUAUUAAAUUCAGACGUCAUUAGUUUUAAGAGAAAAUACAUUUUAGUGAACAAAUACAUGUAGACAUGUAUGAAUAGAGAGCUACUUUCCUUUUAUAAAUUUCUGCUGAUAUAUAUAUUUAACU